UGUACACAUUUAUUUAUUUUCUCUACUUUCUAAGCCUGAUAAGAAUGUGCAGUUUUUAUUCAUGUUUGUAAGCAACUUCAUGAAUCACAGUUCUCUGCUCAAUACGUUUUCUUUUUUAUUGCAAUUCAGGGGGCUGGAAUAAUUUGAUAGGGAUUUAACGAUGUGGGAGUCUGAACAUACAUAUUUUUAUAUAUAUGUAUGUGAUGUGUUUCACUUCAGGUUUUAAGAGAGGUGCAGAUCCUGGAAUGCCUGAGCCAACUAUCUGGAGUCUACUUUGGGGAUGAAGGAUGUGGUGGUCCUGUUCUAGAACCAGCCAAUGGACAGAGAAAGUGUCUGAAGAUACGAGCAUUCCAGAGGACGAGGUGGACACUUAUACCAGCUGGCUCAAUCAGCUUGCUAAUGACAUAAGGUUCUACAUACAGCAAAAUGGAGUUUAUAUGGACCUAAUUUAUUUGCAUUACAGUUUAAUUAAAUAAAUACAAUUUGAAUGGUUAUGCAUUGUUUUUAAAUCUUUACAUAGCUAUAAUGUAGUAAUUUCUUUAUUACAGAAAGGAUAACCUGUUGUGUGGGGUUUGUUUUUUCCUUUUUCCCAAAAUAUGAUGAUAUUCAACCCCAGUAUUUAUCUCUGUUAUGAUGGUCUUUUAGAUAAAGAUUCCUCUUUAUCUUCAAGUGAAAUCAGUGUCAU